rnacentral:miRNA from 1 species
UGGCAGUAUGCGCAAGUUAG